rnacentral:lncRNA from 1 species
UUCUCUUAAACGAAGCCAACUCUGCCAUCAACUAUCUUCUACCCUCGGUUUAUCCAACUUCUUCUGAGCCUGAUCGCCCUCGGUUUUAAUGGCGAAACUCGAGACCAAUUGUUCCCUUUACUUAAAUCUGAAACUACACAUAAUCUUAAUACUCUCUACAAGGGCGCUAGAGAACACGUUAAUUUUUAAAGGGAGAGACUGAAAAAGAGUUCAGUGGCCAUAUCAAAAAGAUUAUUUCUCGUGAUAACGCUUUAAAGGUGUUAAAGGAAUUAGG